ACGCUGGCGGCGUGCCUAAUACAUGCAAGUAGGACGCACAGUUUAUACCGUAGCUUGCUACACCAUAGACUGUGAGUUGCGAACGGGUGAGUAACGCGUAGGUAACCUGCCUAUUAGAGGGGGAUAACUAUUGGAAACGAUAGCUAAUACCGCAUAACAGUAUGUAACACAUGUUAGAUGCUUGAAAGAUGCAAUUGCAUCGCUAGUAGAUGGACCUGCGUUGUAUUAGCUAGUAGGUAGGGUAAAGGCCUACCUAGGCAACGAUACAUAGCCGACCUGAGAGGGUGAUCGGCCACACUGGGACUGAGACACGGCCCAGACUCCUACGGGAGGCAGCAGUAGGGAAUCUUCGGCAAUGGGGGGAACCCUGACCGAGCAACGCCGCGUGAGUGAAGAAGGUUUUCGGAUCGUAAAGCUCUGUUGUUAAGGAAGAACGAGUGUGAGAAUGGAAAGUUCAUACUGUGACGGUACUUAACCAGAAAGGGACGGCUAACUACGUGCCAGCAGCCGCGGUAAUACGUAGGUCCCGAGCGUUGUCCGGAUUUAUUGGGCGUAAAGCGAGCGCAGGCGGUUAGAAAAGUCUGAAGUGAAAGGCAGUGGCUCAACCAUUGUAGGCUUUGGAAACUGUUUAACUUGAGUGCAGAAGGGGAGAGUGGAAUUCCAUGUGUAGCGGUGAAAUGCGUAGAUAUAUGGAGGAACACCGGUGGCGAAAGCGGCUCUCUGGUCUGUAACUGACGCUGAGGCUCGAAAGCGUGGGGAGCGAACAGGAUUAGAUACCCUGGUAGUCCACGCCGUAAACGAUGAGUGCUAGGUGUUAGGUCCUUUCCGGGACUUAGUGCCGUAGCUAACGCAUUAAGCACUCCGCCUGGGGAGUACGACCGCAAGGUUGAAACUCAAAGGAAUUGACGGG
rnacentral:rRNA from 1 species